CACGUAGGGCGCAAGCGUUGUCCGGAAUUAUUGGGCGUAAAGAGCUCGUAGGCGGUCUGUUGCGUCCGCUGUGAAAACUCGGGGCUUAACCCCGAGCCUGCAGUGGAUACGGGCAGACUAGAGGUAGGUAGGGGAGAAUGGAAUUCCCGGUGUAGCGGUGAAAUGCGCAGAUAUCGGGAGGAACACCGGUGGCAAAGGCGGUUCUCUGGGCCUUACCUGACGCUGAGGUGCGAAAGCGUGGGGAGCAAACAGG
rnacentral:rRNA from 1 species